rnacentral:ncRNA from 2 species
CAAUUUUAUAUAAUGUACGUUCAUAUAAAUCUCACAAUAUGGCUGAGAAGUCUCUACCAAGUGACCGUAAAUUACUUGACUAUGAAUGAAAAUGCACUUAGG